AGAAAAGAUGGGAGAAGUCAUUUUGAAACUGGCAUCCUUGAGUUAUUGUGAUUUUUAAGAGAGAACACUAUGAAAAAGAAUAAGGAGAGAUGCUAGGGCGCAGCCUCUUCAUCCUGAUGCCUCCGCAGUACUGCUGGGAACUCAGGGGAGACUGUGCCGGGCUCUAGGAAUCCGGAAGAUCUCACCAUGUUACACAGGGGAUUUAUUUAGAAUCUGGAUAUCACAGUCAUCACAAGUGAAGAUCUGUAAAGACCAGUGUUGCAAGGCAUACCAAUGCAAGAACAUCAUCAGCAAAGACCAGCAAAGCAUUGCAAAGCGAACCAAUGCAAGAGCAUCAUUCACUGUCUGUUGGGUUCUACUUAUACUCUUUCCAAACAUCACACAUCCUCUCAAGUGUCUGCCUCAGAAAAACAUCCUCUCAUCAGCAUAACAUCCUCUUAUAAGACAGGUUCUAGAAAAAAACAUCAUGUGACAUAACUGAGUCUUUAGAGAAACCAGAAAUUUCCCCUUCAGCUCAUCUUGGAAAAGAAUCUCAGUGUGGAGUUGUCUACAUCAGGUUGGCAUGAUAAAUAAGGAAACAUGUAUACAUUCAUCUAUACAUUCUACCUGCUCUUGACUAUGAAUGUAAUGUGAUUUAUCUACUAUAAACUCGUGCUUUGACUUUUCCACAAUGAUUGACUGUAUCCUAGAAAUAUAGGCUGAAAUAACAGCCAACCUGUUUUCCAUCCGGUAUUUUAUCAUAGCAAUAAAUGACACUAGGUCAUCUCAAUGUUUUGCCCUUAUUGUUAAAUUGUUCAUUUUAUUACAUUGUCAAUUCUUAACAAUUGUUAAAUUGCUCAAUUGUUAAGGAAAAUGACAAAA
rnacentral:lncRNA from 1 species